ACGAACGCUGGCGGCGCGCUUAACACAUGCAAGUCGAACGAGAAACCGUAGCAAUACGGUUGUAAAGUGGCAAACGGGUGAGCAAUACAUGGGUAACCUACCCUGAGGUGGGGAAUAACCUCCCGAAAGGGAAGCUAAUGCCGACGAUAUCCACCGGCCUCAUAAGAGGUCGUUGGAAAGCCGAGCCGAGGGUUCGGCGCCUCAGGAUGGGCUCAUGUCCUAUCAGCUUGUUGGCGGGGUAAUGGCCCACCAAGGCUGCGACGGGUAGCUGGUCUGAGAGGACGACCAGCCACACUGGCACUGCGACACGGGCCAGACUCCUACGGGAGGCAGCAGUGAGGAAUCUUGCGCAAUGGGCGAAAGCCUGACGCAGCGACGCCGCGUGGGGGAUGAAGGCCUUCGGGUUGUAAACCCCUUUCA
rnacentral:rRNA from 1 species